AAGGCAGACGGCUCAGUAACGCGUAGUCAACCUACCCUAUGGACGGGGAUAACCUCGGGAAACUGAGAAUAAUACCCGAUAGAACAUUAUGCCUGGAAUGGUUUAUGUUUCAAAUAAUUUAUUGCCGUAGGAUGGGACUGCGGCCUAUCAGUUUGUUGGUGAGGUAAUGGCCCACCAAGACUAUUACAGGUACGGGCUCUGAGAGGAGUAGCCCGGAGAUGGGUACUGAGACACGGACCCAGGCCCUAUGGGGCGCAGCAGGCGAGAAAACUUUGCAAUGUGCGAAAGCACGACAAGGUUAAUCCGAGUGGUUUCUGCUAAAGGAACCUUUUGUCAGUCCUAGAAACACUGAUGAAUAAGGGGUGGGCAAGUUCUGGUGU
rnacentral:rRNA from 1 species